rnacentral:rRNA from 1 species
AGUCGAACGGCAGCACGGAGCUUGCUCUGUGUGGCGAGUGGCGAACGGGUGAGUAAUAUAUCGGAACGUACCCUAGAGUGGGGGAUAACGUAGCGAAAGUUACGCUAAUACCGCAUACGAUCUAAGGAUGAAAGUGGGGGAUCGCAAGACCUCAUGCUCGUGGAGCGGCCGAUAUCUGAUUAGCUAGUUGGUAGGGUAAAAGCCUACCAAGGCAUCGAUCAGUAGCUGGUCUGAGAGGACGACCAGCCACACUGGAACUGAGACACGGUCCAGACUCCUACGGGAGGCAGCAGUGGGGAAUUUUGGACAAUGGGCGAAAGCCUGAUCCAGCAAUGCCGCGUGAGUGAAGAAGGCCUUCGGGUUGUAAAGCUCUUUUGUCAGGGAAGAAACGGUGAGAGCUAAUAUCUCUUGCUAAUGACGGUACCUGAAGAAUAAGCACCGGCUAACUACGUGCCAGCAGCCGCGGUAAUACGUAGGGUGCAAGCGUUAAUCGGAAUUACUGGGCGUAAAGCGUGCGCAGGCGGUUUUGUAAGUCUGAUGUGAAAUCCCCGGGCUCAACCUGGGAAUUGCAUUGGAGACUGCAAGGCUAGAAUCUGGCAGAGGGGGGUAGAAUUCCACGUGUAGCAGUGAAAUGCGUAGAUAUGUGGAGGAACACCGAUGGCGAAGGCAGCCCCCUGGGUCAAGAUUGACGCUCAUGCACGAAAGCGUGGGGAGCAAACAGGAUUAGAUACCCUGGUAGUCCACGCCCUAAACGAUGUCUACUAGUUGUCGGGUCUUAAUUGACUUGGUAACGCAGCUAACGCGUGAAGUAGACCGCCUGGGGAGUACGG